ensembl:snoRNA
CAGCAUGUCUCCAAGGGCUGUGACAGCUGAUGGCCACGGGUUCUCCCACUCCAUGCGAGAGCAACGUGGAGGGACUUUGACCCCCAGAUCACACCGUACCCGCAGCUUCCAGUCACCUUUCCUAUAAAC